rnacentral:rRNA from 1 species
GAUUNUUGGGCGUAAGCGAGCGCAGGCGGUCUUUUAAGUCUAAUGUGAAAGCCUUCGGCUCAACCGAAGAAGUGCAUUGGAAACUGGGAGACUUGAGUGCAGAAGAGGACAGUGGAACUCCAUGUGUAGCGGUGAAAUGCGUAGAUAUAUGGAAGAACACCAGUGGCGAAGGCGGCUGUCUGGUCUGCAACUGACGCUGAGGCUCGAAAGCAUGGGUAGCGAACAGGAUUAGAUACCCUGGUAGUCCAUGCCGUAAACGAUGAUUACUAAGUGUUGGAGGGUUUCCGCCCUUCAGUGCUGCAGCUAACGCAUUAAGUAAUCCGCCUGGGGAGUACGACCGCAAGGUUGAAACUCAAAAGAAUUGACGGGGGCCCGCACAAGCGGUGGAGCAUGUGGUUUAAUUCGAAGCUACGCGAAGAACCUUACCAGGUCUUGACAUCUUCUGACAGUCUAAGAGAUUAGAGGUUCCCUUCGGGGACAGAAUGACAGGUGGUGCAUGGUUGUCGUCAGCUCGUGUCGUGAGAUGUUGGGUUAAGUCCCGCAACGAGCGCAACCCUUAUUACUAGUUGCCAGCAUUAAGUUGGGCACUCUAGUGAGACUGCCGGUGACAAACCGGAGGAAGGUGGGGACGACGUCAAAUCAUCAUGCCCCUUAUGACCUGGGCUACACACGUGCUACAAUGGAUGGUACAACGAGUCGCGAGACCGCGAGGUUAAGCUAAUCUCUUAAAACCAUU